ensembl:ncRNA R11B5.4 ncRNA
UCGCGCGGCGGCUGCCAAUUAAUGUCUUCAUAAACGUGCUGCCAGCGCCAAUUUAUCUCUCAAGUGGUUGUUGAGGGGGUACGCAUCCGCGCGUACUUCUUGCCUCCUAACCAUUCUCCGUUCUCUGAUAUGGCAGCUGCUCUUGGUGAAACCACACCGCC